rnacentral:rRNA from 1 species
CAGUCGCCACGGUAAUACGAAGGGUGCAAGCGUUACUCGGAAUUACUGGGCGUAAAGCGUGCGUAGGUGGUGGUUUAAGUCCGUUGUGAAAGCCCUGGGCUCAACCUGGGAACUGCAGUGGAUACUGGGUCACUAGAGUGUGGUAGAGGAUAGUGGAAUUUCCGGUGUAGCAGUGAAAUGCGUAGAGAUCGGAAGGAACAUCUGUGGCGAAGGCGACUAUCUGGGCCAACACUGACACUGAGGCACGAAAGCGUGGGGAGCAAACAGGAUUAGAUACCCGCGUAGUCCCUGUCUCUUAUAC